rnacentral:rRNA from 1 species
AGUGAACGCUGGCGGCAGGCCUAAUACAUGCAAGUCGAGCGGCAGCGGGUGAUUCUGGCUUCUGGGGUGCUGGGGACGGGCGAGGAAUACACCCGAAUCUGCCCUACCUUUGGGGCUGAGCUAGGGUAACUAAGGCGGAUCUCGCACAGGACGUACGGGUGAAACGGGGGGAUCGCAAGAGAUAGCCGGACUGGCUGACCCGUUUUGCGAUUAGCUAGCUGGCGGGGUAAAGGCCCACCAAGGCGACGAUCGGUAGCUGGUCUGAGAGGAUGAUCAGCCACACUGGGACUGAGACACGGCCCAGACUCCUACGGGAGGCAGCAGUGGGGAAUAUUGGACAAUGGGCGCAAGCCUGAUCCAGCCAUGCCGCGUGGGUGAAGAAGGCCUUCGGGUUGUAAAGCCCUUUUGUCCGGGAAGAAAUCGUCUGGGCUAAUACCCCGGGCGGAUGACGGUACCGGAAGAAUAAGCACCGGCUAACUUCGUG